AAACAAAGGCCUUCGUGAGUUCAGCAUAUAGAUUUAUUCAUUGUAAUAUAUAUACUGUUCAAACAAAUACAAAAACUAUAACAAACAAGAAGACUCUGAUACAAAUCGUUCACCCCCUGUUCCGUGUAAGUGGCAAACAGAGCUUUAUCGCCUCAGAUUCACACGGUAGGCAGUGCUGGAUACUGAGGCACAGCUCAGGAGCAGCAUUACAACAACCAAAGAUGCUCAAUGCACACCUUUGGUUAUUCAGUCAGUCUGUGGUGAAUUGGUAACGACAGGCCUCGUCGACGACCACGACAGAGGAACCCAAAAGGCAGUGUUUAUUGUCCGAUGGAGUAGAAAGCAGCUGCUAAGAAACCAGCGAACAGAGAUCGAGGAGCAGCUGGUCUCUGUUCAUGACUCUCUCCUGAGCUUCAGCCCCCAGUGCAACCCCCUCUUUAUACAAAAGGCAAACUAUAGAGUCGGCUGAUUUGGGCGUCUCCUCGCCCUCUGCUGACAGUGGAGCAGUCUGCUCCUUCAGCUCAAUCCCCUCUGCAGACUCAUCGGUUUUCUUUACUUCCUCCAUUGGAUACACCACCACACAGAAUUUCUGGCCCAGGGAGGGAGGGACUGACCGAGAGGAGGUGAACAGGGAGCCGUUGACCCCCCCAAAUGUGGACAAGGCCACAGAGAUGGGCAUGAUCCAUGACAUCACCCCCAACAGCUUCUCACCAAACGUCUGGGAGAGAGCAACAGAGUGGUGAAGGAGAGAAAAGAGACAAG
rnacentral:lncRNA from 1 species